GGAUGUGAGGGCGAUCUGGCUGCGACAUCUGUCACCCCAUUGAUCGCCAGGGUUGAUUCGGCUGAUCUGGCUGGCUAGGCGGGUGUCCCCCUCCUCCCUCACCGAUCCAUGUGCGUCCCUCCCGAAGCUGCGCGCUCGGUCGAAGAGGACGACCUUCCCCCCCGAGGAGAGGACCGGUCUUCGGUCAAGGGUAUACGAGUAGCUGCGCUCCCCUGCUAGAACCUCCAAACAAGCUCUCAAGAAACAAAGACUCAAAAUAUGUGUGAGGAUUUGUAAAGAGGCACACACAGCCAUGUUGCCUGAGAGAGUGUCCAU
rnacentral:snRNA from 1 species